rnacentral:rRNA from 1 species
UACGUAGGGUCCAAGCGUUAUCCGGAAUCACUGGGCGUAAAGCGUGCGUAGGUGGAUGUUAAGUGCGAUGCGAAAUCCUGUGGCUCAACCCAUAUGGACUGUAUCGCAUACUGGCUAUCUAGAGGACAUGAGAGGCAAGUGGAAUUACUGGUGUAGCAGUGAAAAUGCGUAGAGAUCAGUAGGAACACCAAUGGCGAAGGCAGCUUGCUGGCAUGUAUCUGACGCUAAGGCACGAAAGCGUGGGGAGCGAACAGG